rnacentral:lncRNA from 1 species
UUAUAUUAUAUAUUUAUUAAUAGUAUAAUAUAUUUUUUUUAAAUUGUACGUAAUAAUUAGUUGGAUGUACGAUAGAACGAUUUUUAAAUUGGACGAUAGAGGAAUAUCACUUUUGAAAUUAAAAUAGUAACGAUUUUUGUAAAUGUGCAGUAUGGAAUAUUUUCAUUACUAUCGUAGUUGGAUGUACGAUAGAACGUAUCCAGGA